AGAAGAACCCACUUCAAAAUGGUAUGUGACGUCACAGGAUCCAGCGAACCGUCAAGCUUGAAACUGGAAUGAAGAAAAGUCAGCGAAUUAGGCUGCAGAAGAAAAGCACAAGACGAAGAACAAAGACGAAGACGCCAAUAAGGAUAAUGGUUUGAGGUUUCACUAUAGAGUAAAAAUUGUGGGUUGGCACGUGUGUGUGUAUUUGUUGGUGAGCUCUCAAUUUUCGCUGGACCUAGCGUUGCCAGCUUUUUUAGUCAGUCACUACUUAGUGCAUUUUGCAUAUCACUGUAAUAUAUACAAUGAAACUAUGGCGAACAUCUUGCUGGAUCAGAUUUGUUGUUGUACACUCUAUUGAGUAUUUCGCCUGCCAAGAUCGAAUCGUUCAGCGAUUCCGUAUUGUCUCAAUUUACCGGGUGAGAACGCUGUGUUGGUACACAAAUACUCCAGUACUAUCAACGCGCAUUAUAAUAUACACCCAUACAAUUUGAACAUUUCCCAUGUAUUUAUUUUUACCUUAACGUAGUAAUAACCCCCUCCGUGUUAAAACUGUUAGCCCCCCCCCCAAAGCCUGAUUGUGACGCUGGCCACGUUGCAAUUACGCUACAUCGAUGGGUCGUUAGGACCUUGCGUCCGGUGCGGUUACGACCGUUUGGCAAAGUUACGUUAUACAGCUGCGGGUUUGUUACGUGGACGUCACCGCAUUGUGCUGCAGUGGUGCUACGCCUGGAUAUUUAGGCCACUGAUAGCGCGGUACGUAACAAUCAAUGUAGUCUUUCGUGACGGUCGAUGCGGUGCGUAACAUCCGGACGUUAUUAUAAUAUGCGUAAAUAUACGAGAAUAUCGCGGUACCAACAUGUCGUUCUUACUGAGUGAUUGGGACAUACAGAGCUGUUGUCGGAUUCGACUUCUUGUGGUCGGACAUUCAAUAUGGUGUACACUGCAGAUGCUUAUCCUUCAGGAUUUGACCAUAUUUUCUUAGUAGAUAUUUCAAUGUUUAUGUCCGCGUUAAUUACUUUUUUUGUAACUGUCCCAUUUUUUGUACGACUGAGCUGUUGUGUUAUCGUUUGUUUUGCACGUUUUGUUUAUUUCUGUACAGUG